CAGGGAGACAACACAACGAUUUUGAUGCUGAGUGUUUUUAAUCUUAGGCCGAAAUCCUGUCACCUUAGGUCGAUCGGUACCUCAGCGUUGAAGUAAUUGAAUCAGCAGCGAUGUUGAUGAGAAUUAUGGAGAUGAUCAGUUCCUAAACUUUGUCUAGGUCACACCCCAUAAGGGUUGAGUUUUCCUGGGCCAUUAGCUCAGGUGGUUAGAGCGCACCCCUGAUAAGGGUGAGGUCCCUGGUUCAAGUCCAGGAUGGCCCAUUCGGUGUUGGGGGUUUAGCUCAGUUGGUAGAGCGCCUGCUUUGCAAGCAGGAUGUCAGGAGUUCGAGUCUCCUAACCUCCACUGACCGAACUUUAUCUCCCGCUUUGCAUCGAUCGAUGGAAAGUGACUCGAUGUGGUGUGUGUGAUUUAGAUGUGUCCGCUGGAUUGGAUCCCAGCUUCCUGUCAUUCCAAAUUUAAAUGAGGCUUUUUGCUUUGUUGAUUUGAUUUGGUUGAUAAGAUGCUGGGCUCAGAUGAAAUUAUUGAGCAAUCAAUGAUUUGAUUUGACGUCUAGCAGAACCUUGACAACUGCAUAGGUGAAGUCUGGAAAAACAAAGCAUCUUACAGAUGCAUUGUUUUGAAUUUAGACAUCUGAAAGGAUGUUUAGAUCCAGAACAAUGAAAAUUCUUUUGAGCAAGAGCCGAGACUCUUCAACGUUCUUGGAAUCGUGUCGAGCGAAACCGAGUUUGAUUUUGUUUUAGGAGUUGGUGAAAACCAAUGAUUAAAACAUAAGAAUCUGCUUUCAACGGCAGUAAGCGUUUAAGAGAUACAUU
rnacentral:tRNA from 1 species